rnacentral:rRNA from 1 species
UGCCAGCCGCCGCGGUAAUACGGAGGGGGUUAGCGUUGUUCGGAAUUACUGGGCGUAAAGCGCACGUAGGCGGACUGGAAAGUUGGGGGUGAAAUCCCAGGGCUCAACCCUGGAACUGCCUCUCAUACUGGCGAUCUGGAGUUCGAGAGAGGUGAGUGGAAUUCCGAGUGUAGAGGUGAAAUUCGUAGAUAUUCGGAGGAACACCAGAGGCGAAGGCGGUCUCUUGGUCCGAAACUGACGCUGAGGCGCGAAAGCGUGGGGAGCAAACAGGAUUAGAUA